UACAGAGGGGGCAAGCGUUAUUCGGAAUUAUUGGGCGUAAAGGGCGCGUAGGCGGCUUGGCAAGUGGAAGGUGUAAUCCCUCGGCUUAACCGAGGAACUGCCCUCCAAACUGCUUCGCUUGAGACCGGGAGAGGUGAGUGGAAUUCCCAGUGUAGCGGUGAAAUGCGUAGAUAUUGGGAGGAACACCAGUGGCGAAGGCGGCUCACUGGACCGGUACUGACGCUGAGGCGCGAAAGCGUGGGGAGCAAACGGG
rnacentral:rRNA from 1 species